AUUGAACGCUGGCGGCAUGCCUAACACAUGCAAGUCGAACGGCAGCACAGCAUGUAGCAAUACAUGUGGGUGGCGAGUGGCGGACGGGUGAGUAACGCGUGGGAAUCUGCCCUAUAGUGGGGGACAACCCGACGAAAGUCGGGCUAAUACCGCAUACGCCCUACGGGGAAAGGCUUCGGCCGCUAUUGGAUGAGCCCGCGUCGGAGUUAGCUAGUUGGUGAGGUAAUGGCUCACCAAGGCGACGAUCCGUAGCUGGUCUGAGAGGACGAUCAGCCACACUGGGACUGAGACACGGCCCAGACUCCUACGGGAGGCAGCAGUGGGGAAUAUUGCACAAUGGGCGAAAGCCUGAUGCAGCAAUGCCGCGUGUGUGAAGAAGGCCUUGCGGGGUUGUAAAGCACUUUCGGUGGGGAAGAAAUGCUGGGUUAAUACCCUGAGUAG
rnacentral:rRNA from 1 species